AGCUGGACAGCGGUGCCGUAGGCGGAGGCGUUGACGGGCACGCCGAACAGGCGCAGGUAGUCCUUGUUGGUGUUGGCCAGGUCGGCCACGCUCUUCAGGUCCCACACCGAGGCCAGCGCGGUCACGGGCGACAGGACCAGGCCGGUCAGGCCGGCGGGCAGCGUGGAGGCCACCGUGUCGUCCGUGUACACGGCGCCGGUGACCGCGUCCUUGCAAGAGCCCUUGUAGGAGGCGUCCUUGCCGGCGUAGCUGGCCAUGCCGCUGUGGGAGGGAAGAAGAGGGAGGGAGAGAUGAUAAGUACAUGCGCACAACAUUGUCCUGUGCAAUGGCAAUAGCAGGAGAACUCUCCAGUAAAGCAACCCUAUUCACAAAGCAAGUACUCACGUGAAGUUGCCCGCGGUGGUGGUGACGGUGAGGUCGCCAAUUAGCACGUUGCAGGACAGCGGGCCGGUGGCCAGACCGCGGGCCGAGUAGUUGGCGGUCGACAGCGGCGGCGAGGGGGGAGGCGAGGGCGCGGGCGACGGGGGAGGCGAGGGCGGGGGCGAGGGCACGGUGAUGAGCGCGGGUGAGGGGCGGGGCACGUAGGCCGGGCCGGUGGCGCUGCCGGCACGCAGCACGGUCUGGCUGACAGCCACAUCCACCGUGUCACCAGCCAUGGGCUUGUAGGUGGCGGCGGCGGUGAGCGUGAGGCUCAGGCCGUCGGCGCUGACGGCGCAGGCCGACAGAGGGCUGGCGACGGCGCUGCCGUUGCGGGCAAUGACCACGGCGGCAUUGCAGUCGGCGGCAGCGGUGCUGGUGAGGACCGAGGCGGUGGGCAGGGCGACGGUGACGAUGGUGGCGUUGGUGAGCGUGGCGGACACGAUGUUGGGGGUGACCAGCACGCCGGCCUUGGAGGGCACGUAGGCGGUGGUGCCGUCAGCCAGGGUCAGGGCCCUCUGGCCGGGCACGAUGUUCAGCACAUCGCCGCCCACAAACGAGGCCGCGGGGAUGGUCACCGCCAGCGUCACGCCGUCGGCGCCCAGGCUGCAGCUGCUCACGUUCUUGGCCACGCCGCCCGCACCCAGCAGCGCCAGCACCGCCUUGCAGUCGGCGCCAGUGGCCAGGGCGCUGGCGAAGGGCAGGCGCACAGUGAUGGCGGUGGCGGAGGUCAGGUUGGCGUUGGCGAACAGCGCGGGGUUCACCACCUGCGCCGCCAGCUUGGGCACGUAGCUGGGGCCGGUGGCCAGCGCCGAGGAGCGCAGCUCGGCCUGCUCCGGCUUGAUGUUGACGGUGUCGCCGGCGCUGAAGUUGCCAGCCGACAGCAGCUUCACCUGCAGGCCCAGGCGGUCGGGCAUCAGCAUGCAGGACGCCACAGUGCCGUUCUUGGUCACGCCCGCAGCCGUCUUGAACUCAAUGGCGCGCAGGCAGUCGGGGACGGUGAAGUUGUCAGGGAUGGCUGACACAGUCGGCAAGUUCAGCACCACAGUGGACGGGUCGACCAGGGUGGCGGUGGCGACGGUGGCGAAGACCGGCACGUCGGCGGCAGCGGGGUAGUAGGCGGCACCGCUGGCCUGGGGGCCCCAGCGCACGGCUGCGUUUCCGGACUUGAUGUUCAUCACGUCGCCGGCCUUGUAGAUGGGGCUGGCGGUGUUGAGCACCACGCCCUUGGUGUCGGGCGUGAGGGCGCAGCUGGUGAAGGGGUUGACGGCGUCCACACCCGCCACAUCCGUGUAGCGCACCGCGGCGUUGCAGUCGGCAGCGGCCGUGGCGGCGGGCAGGGAGCUGACCGCCGGCAGGCUGAAGGCGACUGAGGUGGGGGCAACCAGGGUAGCCUUGGCACCGAAGGGGCGCGGCGAGAUGGUGGUGGCGGUGGGGUAGGGAACCAGGUUGGUGCCGCCCACGCCGCCCACCUUGGCCGAGGUCUGGUCCUUGACCACAUUAAUUGCGUCGCCGGGCACGUAGGCGUCCGCCGAGCUCAGGGUGAUGGUGACCGAUAGGCCAUCUGGCGCAAGGGCGCAGCUGGCAAUUGGGCUGGUGGUCUUGGUGGUGUUGCCGGCGCCGCUGAACACAAACACGGCGUCGCAGUCGGCCUUGGAGGUGAAGCUGACGGUGGUGACGGCGGCCAUCGUGACCAGCACGGUGGUGGGCGCGGUCAGGAUGGCAUCAUCAAAGUUGGCGUAGAUGGGCUUGGUGGCGCCUGCUGCGCCGCUGGCGUACGCAAUGCUGCCGACCAGGGCGGUGUUGCCGCUCUUGAUCAGGACCUCAUCGCCCGACACGAAUGGCGUGCCGGCGGCCAGCGUCACAACCAGGUAGUAGCCGGUGGCGUCCGAGGCAACCGUGCAGGCGCCUGACACGGUGCGAGUGGUGGUGGGGGUGGCGGAGGCGCGGACGGUGACCACGGUCGAGCAGUCGUUGUCCGUCGCGAUGGAGCUGACCACGGGCAGGGCAACCGACAGGGUGUUGGGGCCGACGGCGUAGGCCGCGUUGAUGAAGCCGGGCGCAAUCACCACGUCAGAGCUGCGCGCGAUGUAGGCCUGGCCCGAGCUGCUGGUGGUGGCCACCAGGUACUUGUCGGUGUUGGCGCUGUCGGUGUUGGAGGCCAGGAUGUUGAUCUUGUCGCCCGCCUGGAAGACCUGGUCAGACGCCAGGGUGACCGUCAAGGUGGUGCUGCCGGAGCUGGACAGGCUGCAGGCGCCGGACGCAGACAGGGCCACGGUGCCGGAGCCGCGCUUGACCGACAGGAUCUUGCCGCACUCGGUCGCGGUCAGCGCAGUGCUGACUGCCGCUCCGCCAGACGUGCUCCAGAUAACACUGGUGACAGGAAGCGUGACCUCAAUGGUGGUGGCGGUGGUUGCCUUGGCCGAGGCGAUGGUGGGCUUGACAAUCAGAGUGCUGCCGACCUUGUAGGCGGGGCCAGUGUCCGAGGCAGCACGCAGCCAGGGCGUGGCCUGGGUGCUCUGCAGCGUCACGGUGUCGCCUGUAGGGAUGCGUUGAAGUGGACCGUGUGAGUUGUGAUGCAAAGACAGCACGACACCAUGCCCAGAGGACACCUGCCCAUGCGCCUGCUGCCCAAGUCCCUGCCUUACCGUCGGCGUAGGCGGUGCCGAGGCUGACGGUGAGCAGCGUCUUGGUGGUGUCCAGGACGCAGGGGGCGGUGACGGUGGAGGAGAUAGUGCGGCCUCCCGUGAGGCUCAGGAUGGCGCCGCACUGAGCGGCGGUGAGGGCGGUGGAGCCGACCGAGCUGGCGGCGGGCAGGGCGACCUCGUACACCAGCGAGUCGAUGGCGGUGGCGGUGUACAGGUUGGGGUCGAUGGUCACCGCUGUGGCCUUGGCCACAAACGCCAGCGAGCCGGCCUUGAGCGGGUUGGUGGUGGCGGCCAGCGAGUUGGCGGCCGCAAUGUUGACCGCGUCAGUGCCGGCGUAGGGCGUGGCCUUGUCCAGGUUCACGGUCAGCGUGGUGCCGGCCACGGAGCAGGGCGAGGUGGCGGCCAGGGUCUUGGCGGGGGUGAAGGUGACAAUCUUGUUGCAGUCGUCCACGGUGGCCGGGGUGGUGGUGAUGGUGCCGGUGGCGGACAGAGUCACCUUGACCUGGGUGGGCGAGGCGGCGGCAGCCGACACAAUCGAAGGGCCAAUGGUGACGACCGCGGCCGAGGCAGCUGCGUUCAGUGUCGCCACAGUGGUGUACUUGGGCGAGGUGUUGGCCACGGCGGCGGCGGUGGCUGCACCGCGCAGGUUGGCGCUGUUGCCAAAGCCGACGUCGAUGCGGUCGCCGGUCGCAUACGAGCUCACGGUUGUGUCGAGGGUCAGGGUGAUUGUGGUGCCGCUGCCGCUGAGGACGCAGGGCGCAACGCCAGCGCCAGGGGCGACCAAGGUCCGCGCGAUGGUGGAGCCGGAGGGGAUGACGCGGAUGACGCUGUCACAGUUGUCCUUGGUGGGCGUGGCGCCGUCGGCAGCAAGAAUCUCAGCGGGGGAGGCAGCCAGGUCGUACAUCUUGACGGGGAAGGGCAGGGUCACCACGAUGGUGUUGGCAGCGGUGGAAGUGGCCGACACGAAGAAGCUGAGCGUGACGGUCACGGCGCUGGCCGAGGGCGUGUACAGGGGCCCAGACAGCUCGUAGCCGGGGCCAACGUCGGACUUCCAGGCGCGCAGCAGGGUCUGGCCCGAUGCAAUGUUGACAGUGUCGCCUGUAAGGUUCACAAGAGGACACUUGCUCAGCACCGGUGCAACGGAGGGAGGCAUGGAUGGCGACUAGAGGCUACACCGACUUCCCAAGCAAUCACUCACCCGGAGCGAAGUCGGCGGCCAGCGUCAGGGUGAGGGUGAGGAAGUCGGACGAGAUGGCGCACGAGGCCACGGACUUGCCGGCAGGCAGCGCCACAAGGCUUGCGCACUGCUGCUGCGUGGGCGCCGAGAUGACGGUGCCGGUGCUGUCGAUCAGCUGGCUGGUCACAGGCAGCGUCACGGCGAUGGUACGGGCACCGGUGGCGGAGGCAGAAACAAUGCGUGGCUCAAUGACCACGGGCAUGCGGCGAGGCACGUACAGCGCCUGGACAUUGGUGCCCACACGCAGCGGCUUGGCAGCGGCAGUGGCGCCAUUCAGACCGGCGUUCUUGUCCCACACGUCGACGGCGUCGCCGGCAGCGUAAGAGGCGCCCAGCUUGAUGGUCAGGAGGGUGUCGCCGGCGCUGGUGGUUCCCAGUAGGCAGGCGGCGCCGCUGAACAGCGUGCGGCAGUUGGAGGGCGUGGCGCAGGCCGAGACGCCGGCGCUGUUGGUCUUGCCGGCCAAGAGCACCGUCAGCACGUCGGCGCACUCUACGUCCGUGAGCGAGGCCACCUUGGUGGCGCUGUUGGUAGCGCCGCUGUAGAAGCUGCUAGUGGCGGGCAGCACCACCGCAAUGGUGGUGCUGUCCACGGUGUAGGCGGACACGAGGGCGGGCGACACGGUGGCGGCAGCGGCCAGGGCGGCGUAGUCUGUCAGCGUGGCUGCGGCGGUGGCGUACUUGAGCAGGUUGGGGGCGCCUGCAAUGUUGACGGCGUCCCCGGCGGCGAACUGGUCCACGGUGGCGGUGACCAGCUGCGUUUCGGCGUCAUAGACGCAGCUGCUGAUGGUGCGCGUUGGUGUGAAGGCCAGGAAGUUGGCGCAGGUGUUGCCGGUGGUGAUGGUGCUGGGCGCCGGCAGCUUGAUCUCCACCUGGUUGGAGGCGAUGGCCUUGGCGGACACAAUGCUCUGGCCCGGCGUGACCACGUCGUACACAGGAAUGGAGCCGGUGACGUACAGCGGGCCGGUGUUGUCAGAGCCACCGAAGAGCUGCAGCUUGGUCGCGUCGGCGCUGCUGGUCGCAACCACCACCACGGACACACCUGCAGAAACGGGAGGCCGAUUCAGGCAUUUGGAAGGCAGGCAUAAGGCAGGCAUACGGCGUCAGCUACCACCUUCAGCAGGAAACCCGCUUCUGUACUCACCCUUGCCGGUCGUGAAGUCGGAGGCGCCCAGGGCCUGGUUCAGGGUCAGCGUCAGGACGGCUCCGUUGGCGUCGCUUGAGAUGGAGCAAGCGCCCGUGUUGGCCUGGGUCUUGUCAGUCGCGUCGUCCACGCGGACCUUGAUGCCGGUUGUCGCGCAGUUAACAGUGCCCAGGUUGCUGGUGAGGGGCAGCUGCAUCUUGAUGACCGCCGCGGAGGCGAUGGUGGUCGCGACGGCCGAAGUGAUGGCAGGCCGGAUCAGCAGGGCAUCGGGCAGUGGCGCAAAGGCCAGGCGGUUGGCGGCGGUGGCCGAGUCGGCCUUGAGCAGGCUCUGGCCGGCCUUGAUGUUGAUCAGGUCCUUGACCGCGUACGUGUUGGCGUUGGUGGUGGAGGCGGCGGCGGCGGCCAGUGUCAGGUAGAAGGUCUGCUUGUCGGCGCCCAGGUAGCAGGCGGAGAAGACCGCCGCGGUCUUGGGCGUGGUGGUGCCGGUGGCGUACAGCUGGAAGAUGUUGUUGCAGUCGGCGGGGGACAGGCCGGAGCUGGGCACGGAGGCGGCCACGGGCAGCGUCACCUGGAGCGACUUGGGGCCAGUCAGGGUGGCGGAGCUGAUGGAGGGGUAGAUUACGACGGCACCGCUGGGCUUGGUGGUGUACAGAAGAGUGAUGGCAGCUGUGGGCUUCAGGUAGUUGGUCGCGGCGGCGGCGGCCUGGUCCGCGGCCACCGACAGGGUGGUGCCGGGCACCCAGUUCGCGGUGGCCAGAGUCACGGUGGUGGUGUACGGUGCAGUGAAAUCAGAGCCCGGGUUGCUGCAGCCGGCAAUGGUCGCAGUGCCGCCAGUGAGGCUGAAGAUUGUCGAGCAGUCCGCAGGAGAAGCGAUGUCAUCAUCGCAGGUGUCGCCGGUGGUGCCCUUGGAGCAACCGGUGAAGCUCCCAGUGCAAGUGGGAACCACCAGGCCGGUGCCGCCACAAGAGAAGGUUAUUGCGCAAUUUGCGGUGCCAGUGAAGGGGCUCUUGCAAGUGGGGGCGGUGGAUGCAGUGCAGGUAGGUCCGGUAGCCGAGACGCAAGCGAACUUUCCACUGGAACUACAUGUUGGCAUGCCAGAUAUCCAGCCUGUGCAGAGCGCUGCGUCACUGACGGCUGUUGCCGUCAUUGUUGAAGACGUGUAGCAAGUGGGGUCCAGGUCGAUGCUUGAAGCACUAUCAUCACAGUUGUUGCCAUUUGCUGCGCUGAAAGCCGAGCCACUGGCACAUCGUGCCGCAGUAGUCAAGGAGCUGCUGUAGCACACAGCGGAGAUGCCCGCACCACACGCAGCUGUGCCGCCGUCAGUUGUUGCUGCAGCACACCCGGGUCCGUUUCCAGCAGUGGCAAUGGAGCCUGGAGAUCCACCAGUGAUGCACGCCGCGGUUGUGCUGGCGGGGCAGGUAACGGUUGGCGCUGCGCACGUCAGGCCAACCGUCGGGUCAGUUGCCGUGCAAGUGUAGGUGCCAGCAGCCGAACAAGCUGGAGAGCCGGAUUGGCAGGUAGCGGUUCCGCUACUGCAAGUGACGGCACCGCCUGUGCAUGUCGGAGCACCCUUGAUGAUCUUGCUCUGAAUAGGCAGAGCCACAACAAUGGUCCGAGGUCCAGUGGCGACGGCUGACACGAAGGUGGGCUUGAUGGUAACGGUGCUGGCUGCACCAAUGGCUGUGCCUGACGCGCUGCCCGCUUUAAUCAGUCCCGCCGCGUUAGCGAGUGACACCGCGCCCGCAACAUAGCCGGCUGUCAGUGUGAUCUGCAGGAUGCUGUUGGGGCUGGAGGUGGUGCCGAUGAGCUUGCAGGAGGCGGCGGUGUUGGCGGUGGAGAAGGUCACGGGCGAGCAGCCGCUGGAGAUGUCGGCCAUGUAGCUGGACAUGGGCAGCGUCACCUCCAGCACGUUGGUGGCGACGGCGGUGGCGGUCAUGAUGCUGCUGCCCCAGGUGGUGGCGCCGGCGUUCAGGGACUUGGCGGUGCCAGUGGCCAUGGGCGCCCAGGCGGUGCUGCCCACCGUGAGGGCCGUCUGGGCGGCCUUGAAGUCCACCUUCCAGGCGGUGGCGGUCAGGCUGGCGCUGACAGUCACGGUCAGGUAGAUGCCGGUGCCGUCCAGGGCCAGGCUGCAGCCAGACUCCGCGGGGCCAUUGUUGUUGUCGGUGACGGACACAAUGCUCGAGCAGGUGCCGGCGGCCAGGGUACUGGCGUAAGGCAGCACCACCACAAACUUCUUGUCGUCGAUGGCGUAGGCGCCGGUCAGGUAGGCAGGCUGGAUGUUGAUGGCGGCGGUGGCCGCGUAGAUCUUGCUGCCCGUGGUGGUUGUCAGGGCAUUCUGAGCGCCCUUGAGCGUCACCGUGUCGGAGGCGAGCAAGGCCUCGUUGGUGGUGCCGGUCACGGUGGUGGCGGACGCGACGCUGCAGACGCCGUUGAAGGUCUUCAUGGCGCCGUUGGCCGCCUUGAUCUCAAUGAUGUCGCUGCAGGUGGGGUUGCCGCCAGAAGUGACAGCGUAGGGCAGCGUCAGCGUGAACGUGUUGGCACCGCUGAUGACGGCCGAAGUCAGGUAGCCAGGCAGGACCGAGCUGGCCGCAGACAGGGCAGCAAUGAUGGUGCCAGUGGUGCCGGCACCGCCUAAGAUCUUCACGCUGGCGCUGGAGGCAACCGCAGUGAACUGCACGGUGGUUGUGCCGGGCGUGUAGGUGGAGGUGGUGGUGAUGGUCAGCACGGUGCCGGACAGUGCGCACGAGCCGGUGGCCGCCAGGGUACCAGACGCGACGGUGAGCAGUGUGUCGCAGUCGGUCUUGUCCAGCGAGGCGACAGAGACGCCGGCCUUAAUCAGGGUGAUGGGCACGGGGAGGGUAACCUUGAUCUCCGUGGCCUUGGUGGCGAUGGACGAGGUCACGUAGCCCAGAGCAAUGGGCGUGGCAGUGGUAGCCUGGACGUAGGGGGCGUUGCCACCAGCGCUGCCGAUGAGCAGGACGGUGUUGCCGGACUUGAUGCGGACCGUGUCGCCGGGAGCGAAGGACUCGGUGGCGGCAAGAUUGACGGUCAGCAGGGUGGUAGCCAGGGUGCAGGGCGUGCCGGAGUCCAGGGUGCGGGGCUUGGUGGCGUCGCCGCCGUUCAGCACCUCCACAAUGGUGUCGCAGGUGGCCUUUGUUAAUGUGGCACCGUUGACCGUGGAGGUGAAGGGCAGGGUCACUACAAUUGAGGUGGCCGAGCGGGCCGCAGCCGACGUCAGGUACGCGGGGCUGAUGGGCGCAGCCGUGCCGGCCUUGUAGGCGGGGCCGGUAGUGCCGGUGCCCGAGACCAGGGUGGUCUGGCCACCGCUGUUGAUGGUGACGGUGGUCUGGUCCGUGAUGGCGGAGUUUAGCGUGAGGCUCAGGACGGCGCCGGUGAUGACGCAGUUGGUGCCGGACUUGACAGUCUUGCUGUUGGUAAAGGUGAGGAUGGUGUUGCAGACGGUAUCCGAGACGGACAGCACCGCGGAGCCGCUGACCACAAAGGUGCUGGCCGCGGGCAGGGUGAUGAGGAUGGUGUCGCCUGCGGACGCGACCGCCUUGUACAGGUUGGGCACGAUGACGGCGGCGGUGGCCAGCGCCUUGUAGGCGGGAGCGGUGUUGGCGCUGCCGGCCAGCAGCAGGGCGUUGGUGUCCUUGAAGUUGAAGGUGUCGCCGCCAGUGUAAACAUCGCUGUUGUUGCCCAGCAGCUUCACGGUCAGGGUGGUGCCGGCAAGCGAGCACGAGGCGAGGCCCUUGGCGGUGGUGCCGGCCUUGACCUCCAGCACGGUGGCGCACUGCGCGGCGGUCAGGGUGCUGCCCAGGGAAGAGCCGUCCGCAGCAAAGAGACCGCUGGUGACGGGCAGGGUCACGACAACGGUGUCGGGGGCGGUGGCGACCACGUCUGACGACAGGUAAGCGGGGUUGAUGGUGAUGGUGCGCGGUUGGUAGGCGGGGCCGGAGGAGCUGCCCGCAAGCAGCAUGGUGUUGGUCGUCAGCACGUUGAUCGUUUGGCCUGCAACAGGUGACAUGCGACAAUGAUGUCCGAUUAAUGGGGGCAUUAACGGGAGUUACGUAACCCACGAGUGCAAGGCAGGUUGCUGCAACAACAGUGUGCAUAUACGCCGGCCUGUACACCCUGGCCCUCACCUGGCGCAUAGGUCGUGCCGGCGAGCGUGACAAUCAGCUGGCUGCUGCUAGUGGUGUUGAGGUCGCAGGCGUUGCCACUGCCAACCAGGGAACCACUGCUCAUGGCCAGGACAGUGUCGCAGUCCGCCUUGACAAGGCCCGCGGUCGCGGAACCGGACUUGACGAAAGUGCUGGCCGCAGGCAGGGACACAACCACGACCGAGGUGGAGGUGGCCUUGGCGCUCACGAAGGUGGGGUUGAGGAUGUUGGCAGGCGAGGUGGCCAGGGGCUGGAAGAAAAGCGCGGAGGCGCCGGUGCCCAGGCGCAGAGCCGUGUUGGUGGACUUGACGUUCAGGCGGUCACCUAGCACCAUACAGCAAGAGUACCAUGAGUUAGAUACGUGACAAGUCAAUGGAGAAUGGCCUGGGCCUGAAGCCUUUGUGCAAGUAACCGCACAUCGCCACGGCUCAUGACUCACCAGGAACAAAGGCGCUGGCCAGGUCCAGGGUCAGGGUGGUGCCGGAGGCGGUACAGGCGGCGAAGGGGCUGGACUUGCCGGACAGGUCUAGCGCGGCAUUGCAGGCGUCGGCGGUGAGCGGGUUGGGCACCGGCGAGGACAUGGCGGCGGGCAGGGUCACCAGCAGGCGGGUGCUGGUGGUGACCUGCACAGCGCCGAUGGUGGGCUGGAUGGUGGCGGCGGUGGCGCCGGACACGGGCUGGUACAGGGCGCCGGUGGACGAGGUGCCGCGCAGCGCUGAGUUGAGGGCGUUGAUGUUGAUGGUGUCGCCAAUGGUGUAGGAGCCGCUCAGCGUCACGGUCAGCAGGGUGCCGUUGUUGCUCAGGGCGCAAUUGGAUGUGGCGGCGGUGAGCACCAGGAAGGAGCAGCUGGAGCCGGUCAGGUCGGAGGCCACGGGCAGCGGCACGAUGAUGGUGGUGGGCGAGGUGAUGUGCGCGCUGGUGAUGGCGGGCGACACCUCGGUGGCGCUGCUGAGGGCGGGGUAGCUGGGGCCGUUGGCGGCGCCCAGCACCUUGAGCAGCGUCUGGUCAGACCGGAUGUUCAGCUUGUCGGUGGAGACCCAGGAGCUGGUGGUCAGGGUCACGGUCAGGCCGUCCGUCGACAGCGUGCAGGCGGAGAAGGGGCUGGCGCGCGCGGUGCCGGAAGAGUUAAACAGCGUAAACACGUUGUUGCAGGAGGAGGAGAAGCCGUCCACUGCAGCCGCGGCCACCGACAGCUUGACGAUGAUGGUGUUGGCAGCUGUCAGGUAGGCGCCGGCAAGCUUGGCCUCGCUGAUGGUGAGGGCGGAGCCGCGGGGCACAAAGGCUGGGCUGUCGCUAGAGCCAGAGCCGGCGGCGAGCAGGAAUAGCUGGCUGCUCUUCACGUUGAUGGUGGUGACACCCGAGGUGACGGAGCCCGCGCUGGCAAGCAGGAAGCUGAUGCCGGUGCCGUCGGCGCUGAGCGUGCAGUUGGUGAAGGGCGUGGCGAGCCCGGACACGUCGAAGGCGCCGUUGCAGAUGGACUGGUUGAAGGCGGAGGCGGAAGUGGGUGCCGAUAGCGACACAAACACGUUGGUGUUGCUGAUCAGCGCGGUGGACACGACAGUGGGCGUGAUGACGAUGGCGGUGCCGGCGUGGACAAAGGCCGGGCCUGAAGCGGACAGGGAGCCCAGGAAGGCGCUGUUGCCGGACUUGACGUUGAUGCGGUCACCCGCGGUGUAGGAGGCCGUGGAGGCAAUGGUGAGCGUCAGCGUGGUGCCGCCAGAGAUGGAGCAGGCGCUGAAGGGAGCAGUCCUGGACGCGCCGGCAGCAGAGACCAGGUCAAACGCGGCGUUGCAGACGGUGCCGUUGUUGGUGGAGGCCGGCAGGUUGGCGGCGUACGGCAGGGCCACAACAAUGGUGGAGGAGGCGGUCAGCAUGGCGGUGGUGGCGGCCGUGAGGAUGGGGUUGAUGGGCGUCAGCAGCACGCCAUAGGCGGUGGUGUUGGCGAACGUCAGCUUGGUCUGGCCCGAC
rnacentral:lncRNA from 1 species